rfam:Strongylocentrotus purpuratus Contig129852_fixed, whole genome shotgun sequence.
GGUGUGUUGGCUCAGUCAGUAGAGCGUCCGCCUCACAAUCGGGAGGUCGUAGGUUCGUACCCCGGCGUCAUACCA